rnacentral:lncRNA from 1 species
UAGAAAUGAUUCGGUUGACCGUUUUAUGUGUGGAUUAAUUGUCGGAGUAUAGGACCAUGUGCAUUUCAGUUGAAUAUCUGCCUCGUCCAGUUUCCCAUAUCCAUCGUGUGAUCGUCAAGGCAGCGAACCCAUGGCGGACUCGGUGGAGACGUUCCAGACCCACCUAACCUCUGUCAUGGACAGUUUGAUCCGCGCAUCGGUGUGCGAGAUCACCAAACUGUUCCAGGACACGGUGAAUGACUAUCUGGUGGAAAUAUCGCUGAACAGGAAGGAAAUGGACGCUCUGAAACUCCGACUCCGACUGACGGAGAACAAACUGAGAAAUGAACGCAAGUACGGGAUGGGGUGGGCAGAGAAUCGCCGCAAUGCUGGUUUGAUAGUGUCUGAGGACGGUGGGCGGAAAAAGCGGAAAAUUGAAGUGCCUCGAGGAAAGCAGACGCUGGGCCUUGCCUUUGGAGGCGCGGGGGAGGAAGGAGGAGGAGCAGCCAGGGUAGUAACGGGGGGAGGGUGGAAGGAGGCACGCGAGCUGUACCUCAUUCAGUUCCCCGGGGAGGAAGGAGAACUAGAGGAGGAGGGGGGCUGUGUUUCGGGAGAGGGGGAGGAGACGGACAACAUCAAAGAGGAG